rnacentral:rRNA from 1 species
GGAAUUGCUAGUAAUCGCGGAUCAGCAUGCCGCGGUGAAUACGUUCCCGGGCCUUGUACACACCGCCCGUCACACCAUGGGAGUCGGUAACACCCGAAGCCUGUAGUCUAACCGCAAGGGGGACGCAGUCGAAGGUGGGAUUGAUGACUGGGGUGAAGUCGUAACAAGGUAUC